rnacentral:rRNA from 1 species
UUCCCCUAGUAACGGCGAGUGAAGCGGGAACAGUUCAAGCGUGAAUCAGACUGGCUAUGCUAGUUCUGAAAUGUAGUCUUUUGACAGAAAUUACUCAAGGAACAGCUUAGGUUCAAGUUCUCUGGAAAGAGAUGCCAUAGAGGGUGAUAGUCCCGUCUGUGCCUAAAGCCGAUACUUACGAGUAGCUCUCAAAGAGUCGGGUUGUUUGGGAUUGCAGCCCAAAGCAGGUGGUAAAUUCCAUCUAAAGCUAAAUAUUGGUGAGAGACCGAUAGCGAACAAGUACUGUGAAGGAAAGUUGAAAAGCACUCUGAAGAGAGAGUUCAAUAGUACGUGAAAUUGCUAACAGGGAAACGUUGGGUGUUAGUAAACUAAAUCAUAAAAUCAUUUGUUGCCCAAUUGUUAUUAUGAAGCAGGAUAUCUUUGAUACCUUAAUUAUAAGUAAGCAGUUGUUCAGCAUUGCACUUUUAUGUUUUUGGGUCAGCACCAGUUAGGAUUGUCUCAUAGGAAUUGUAUUAGAACUUCUUUAUGGAGUACUAUACUUUGAGCGAGGAUAAUCUUGACUGAGUAAGUAAUGUAUUCCGUUGGAAAAACUGCCUUAGAAGGUAAUCGUUAUUUAGUGAUAGACAGCAUGCUGACUAUUGCUGAUAAUGACGCUGAAAGAGUAGUUUUGAUGUGAAGGCAAUACGCUGCUGACAAAAUGAUGUUCAACGACCCGUCUUGAAACACGGACCAAGGAGUCUAACAUAUGCGCAAGUGUUUGGGUGCAAAACCCACACGCGAAACGAAAGUAACCUGGGCAGCAGGCUGCAAAGAUUAUAGUAGUCUAACUACCUUGCAAUGCCGCACUGUCGACCAGUCCGCAGUUGCCUUCGGGCUAGCAGGCUGAGUAAGAGCGCAUAUGGUAGGACCCGAAAGAUGGUGAACUAUGCCUGAGUAGGAUGAAGCCAGAGGAAACUCUGGUGGAGGUCCGUAGCGGUUCUGACGUGCAAAUCGAUCGUCAAACUUGGGUAUAGGGGCGAAAGACUAAUCGAACCAUCUAGUAGCUGGUUCCUGUCGAAGUUUCCCUUAGGAUAGCAGAAGUGAGUUAACAGUAUUAUGAGGUAAAGCGAAUGAUUAGAGGCCUUGGGGAUGUAACAUCCUUAACCUAUUCUCAAACUUUAAAUAUGUAAGAUGCCCUUGCUACUUAGUUGAGCUUGGGUUGCGUAUGUGCACACUUCUAGUGGGCCAUGUUUGGUAAGCAGAUCUGGCGAUGUGGGAUGAUCCAAAAAAGGGGUUAAGGUGCCGGAAUGCACGCUCAUUUAGAUACCACAAAAGGUGUUAGUUCAUUUAAACAGUUGGACGGUGGCCAUGGAAGUCGGAAUCCGCUAAGGAGUGUGUAACAACUCACCAAUCGAAUGAACUAGCCCUGAAAAUGGAUGGCGCUUAAGCGUGCUACCCAUACCCCUUCACUGGCGUUAAUGAUUGUAUACGUCAGUGUGUAGGCAGGCGUGGAGGUUGUAUAGAAGCCUU